GACGAACGCUGGCGGCGUGCUUAACACAUGCAAGUCGAACGAUGAUGCUGGAGCUUGCUCCAGUUGAUUAGUGGCGAACGGGUGAGUAACACGUGAGCAAUCUGCCCUUGACUCUGGGAUAACUGCGGGAAACUGUAGCUAAUACCGGAUACUUUCACCGGAAGGCAUCUUCUGGUGAUGAAAGAAUUUCGGUCAGGGAUGGGCUCGCGGCCUAUCAGCUUGUUGGUGAGGCAACGGCUCACGAAGGCGACGACGGGUGGCCGGCCUGAGAGGGGGACCGGCCACACUGGGACUGAGACACGGCCCAGACUCCUACGGGAGGCAGCAGUGGGGAAUAUUGCACAAUGGGCGCAAGCCUGAUGCAGCAACGCCGCGUGAGGGAUGAAGGCCUUCGGGUUGUAAACCUCUUUUAGCAGGGAAGAAGCGAAAGUGACGGUACCUGCAGAAAAAGCACCGGCUAACUACGUGCCAGCCGCCGCCGUAA
rnacentral:rRNA from 1 species